rnacentral:tRNA from 1 species
GCGCCCGUGGUGAAAUGGAUAUCACUUCUGACUACGGAUCAGAUAUUCGGGGUUCGAGUCCUCGCGGGCGCGCCA